AGUGAACGCUGGCGGUAGGCCUAACACAUGCAAGUCGAACGGCAGCACAGUAAGAGCUUGCCCUUACGGGUGGCGAGUGGCGGACGGGUGAGGAAUACAUCGGAAUCUACUUUUUCGUGGGGGAUAACGUAGGGAAACUUACGCUAAUACCGCAUAUGAUCUACGGGUGAAAGCAGAGGAUCUUCGGACCUUUCGCGAUUGAAUGAGCCGAUGUCGGAUUAGCUAGUUGGCGGGGUAAAGGCCCACCAAGGCAACGAUCCGUAGCUGGUCUGAGAGGAUGAUCAGCCACACUGGAACUGAGACACGGUCCAGACUCCUACGGGAGGCAGCAGUGGGGAAUAUUGGACAAUGGGCGCAAGCCUGAUCCAGCCAUACCGCGUGGGUGAAGAAGGCCUUCGGGUUGUAAAGCCCUUUUGUUGGGAAAGAAAAGCAGCAGGUUAAUACCCCGCUGUUCUGACGGUACCCAAAGAAUAAGCACCGGCUAACUUCGUG
rnacentral:rRNA from 1 species